rnacentral:rRNA from 1 species
CGAAGAAGGACGCGAUAAGCUGCGAAAARCCGCGAAGAGCCGCAAAUAGGCUGAGACUCGCGGGUGUCCGAACGGAGAAAUCCACACUUUUGAAGAGAGUGUAUCGUGAGCUGAAUAAAUAGGUUUACGAGGGGAACCGCCCGAACUGAAACAUCUAAGUAGGGCGAGGAAAAGAAAUCAAACGAGAUUCCGUGAGUAGUGGCGAGCGAAAGCGGAAGAAGGCCAAACCAAGACUCGAAAGGGUUUUGGGGUUACGGACUGAGUAAAGCACUCGAGAUUCUAGUCGAACGGCGUGGGAAAGCCGGUCGUAGAGCGUGAGAACCGCGUAGAUGAAAGGAUCGAGAGGCCGUCAGUAUCCAGAGUAGAGCGGAGCAGGUGAAAUUCCGCUUGAAGUCGGGUGAACCAUCAUCCAAGCCAAAAUACUCCUUAACGACCGAUAGAGAAGAGUACUGUGAAGGAAAGGUGAAAAGAACCCCGGGAGGGGAGUGAAAAGAACCUGAAACCCUGAACUUACAAGCACUUAGAGCGCGUCAAAGCGUGAUAAGGUACCUAUUGUAGAAUGGUCCGGCGAGUUAUUGUAUCGUGUGGGUUAAGGAGUUAAGCUCCGGAGCCGAAGUGAAAGCGAGCGUUAAAAGCGCGGAAAUACGAUGCAAUAGACCCGAAACCGGGUGACCUAUCCGUGGUCAGGAGGAAGUUAGGGUAAAACCUGAUGGAGGGCCGAACCGACCCCCGUUGAAAUGGUGGCGGAUGAACUGCGGAUAGAGGAGAAAUUCCAAUCGAACCCGGAUAUAGCUGGUUCUCCCCGAAAUAGCUUUAGGGCUAGCCUCGCUUGUGAUUGCCGGAGGUAAAGCAACCGUUUGAAUAAGGGCGCGAAAGUGUACCAAGUUCUCGCGAACUCAGAAUGCCGGAUAAUUAAAGAGCGGGAGUCAGACUGCGGGAGAUAAGUUCCGUAGUCAAAAGGGAAAGAGCCCAGACCCAUAGUUAAGGUCCCCAAGUAUGUUUAAGUGGAAAACGAUGUGAAUUUGCAUAGACAACCAAGAUGUUGGCUUAGAAGCAGCCAUACAUUCAAAGAGUGCGUAAUAGCUCACUGGUCGAGUGGAUUUGCGCGGAAAAUUUAACGGGGCUAAAGCAUACACCGAAACUUGGGCAUGAGAUGAAAGUCUCUUGGGUAGGGGAGCGUUCUUAAAGGAGCGAAGCGAUAGCGGAAGCGGUCGUGGACUUUUAAGAAGUGAGAAUGCCGGAAUGAGUAGCGAGAAUUGUGUGAGAAUCAUAAUGGUCGAAAACCUAAGGUUUCCAGAGGAAGGUUCGUCCGCUCUGGGUAAGUCGGAAGCUAAGGCGAGGCGGGAACGCGUAGCCGAUGCACAGCCCGUUGAAAAUCGGGCACCACUGAAGGAUUUAAGAUGAGGGACACGGAGGAAGGUGUCAAGCCGGGCGAUGGUAGCCCCGGUGCUGAAAAGCCGAGCGAAAUAAAGUAGCGAAGUUGAGCUGGAACACGGCGAGAAAAGCUCAUUGGAUAUACGAAGUGACCGUACCGCAAACCGACACAGGUAGGUAGGAAGAGGAUUCUAAGACCAACGGGAGAAGGGUAGUUAAGGAACUCGGCAAAAUGUCCCCGUAACUUCGGAAUAAGGGGAGCUCUCGCGAGAGAGCCGCAGAGAAUAGUCCCAAGCAACUGUUUAGCAAAAACACAGGUGUAUGCGAAAUCGAAAGAUGAUGUAUAUGCGCUGACGCCUGCCCGGUGCCGGAAGGUUAAGAGGAGAGCUGAGAGGCUUGAAUCGAAGCCCCGGUAAACGGCGGCCGUAACUAUAACGGUCCUAAGGUAGCGAAAUUCCUUGUCAGGUAAGUUCUGACCCGAACGAAUGGC